CGGUGCAGUAUAAAAAGAAUUGGCGGUAUAAAUUGGUGAUGUUAGAAAGUUUAGAAUUAUAGGUUUACUUUAAAAUUACAGUAAGUUUGGUGUUUAGUUUAAUCGGUGAUAUUAUUCGGAUAAGGAUUUUUAAAAGAUUAAACGGCAAUUAAAUACGGAAAUGGACGGACGAAAGUUAUCUGGCUCGUAUUGGCGCAAAAGAAAACUGGAAAAACAGCAAAAGGAAAAGAAAGCUUUAGAAAACACUCUUAAAGUUACAAGUUUUUUUACACGGGGUAACACAGACGUAGACGAGAGCAGAAGUAUAUGCGAACCUCAACCUGGACCAAGUACGAGCACUAGCCUUGCAAAUGAGAUGAAUACCCAAGAGACCGGUCUUGAGAUGGAGCCACAGGAAAGUCUUUUGCAAAAUAAUACAGUUGGUGAUAGUAUUAUAGAUGCAAAAACAGACGAUUGGACCGAAUUUAAGGAUCCGGCACUUUGGAAGGUUGGUCAAAAUUUUGUGCAAAUUCUUUUGGAUAACUGGACCGAACAAAUUCUUGAUAAAAUUGACUUUUCAAUGUCUAAAAGAAAACAUGGGGACCAAAAUAGGUAUGCUACCAAGCAAAUUUUUAAUAAGAAGCUAGUUAACGGUGAAGUAGUUCGAAGAGAUUGGGCAAUUUAUUCAGAAAGUACUGGAAAUGUGUUUUGUUUAUAUUGUUGUUUAUUUAGUAACAAACAAAACCAAUUUAAAACCGGAUUUUCCUCGUGGAAUAAAUGCAUUGAGAAA